AAAUGCGAUAAGUAAUGUGCAUUGCAGAAUUCAGUGAAUCAUCGAAUCUUUGAACGCACCUUGCGCUCCUUGGUAUUCCUUGGAGCAUGCCUGUUUGAGUAUCAUGAAAUCUUCAAAGUAAAUCUUUUGUUAACUCAAUUGGUUUCUACUUUGGUAUUGGAGGUCUUUGCAGCUUCACACCUGCUCCUCUUUGUUCAUUAGCUGGAUCUCAGUGUUAUGCUUGGUUCCACUCGGCGUGAUAAGUUAUCUAUCGCUGAGGACACUGUAAAAGGUGGCCAAGGUAAAUGCAGAUGAACCGCUUCUAAUAGUCCAUUGACUUGGACAAUACUUUUAUGAUCUGAUCUCAAAUCAGGUAGGAAUACCCGCUGAACUUAGGC
rnacentral:misc_RNA from 1 species